rnacentral:lncRNA from 1 species
CUGGAGUACAGCGGCUGAUCAUAGCUCCCUGCAGCCUCUGCCUCCUGGGCUGAAGCUAUCCUCCUACAUCAGCCUCCUGAGUAGCUGGGAUUACAGAGACAGAAACUGAAAACCAUGGUUUCAGGCUGCUAAAAACCUAACAUGAAACAAAACAGAAGAACAACAACAACAAAAUAAGGUUGCUGACCAGAACUCAACAGUGAGGGAAUUUACCUCCUGCUUCAUGCAUGCAACAUCAAAAUAGAAGAGUGACCUAUGGGAUCCAUGGAGGAGCUGCUUCCUGAAUCUGUGUAAAGUAGAUCUUGCCGUGUGGGUAACUGUGACUGCGGUGGCCAUGAAGAGGCACAACUCAGACCUCGGAUCUCCUGCUGCAGAGAACAUUGACUGACAGCCCAGCAGCUCCUGUCUGGAUCUACCACCUGUUCACAAUUCUGAAAUACAUUCAACGCACACUUUCCUACUGAGAUUUCUAAAAUGGGACUUGGAAAACAGAAAAAUACUAAAGUGGGGUACUAUCAUCUAAAUCUCCAAAAAGGUCAUUCAACUCUGAUCCCUGUUUAAAGAGAGAAAAAAGGAAUAAAGGAGCCUUUGAAGGCAGAAUAUUGCUCACUCAUCUCUUUGAAAGGACCUCAGACUGCAGAGCAGAAGAACCACUGGCUACAUCAGCUGGGGCAGAGGGGGAUGAAGAGAACAUCAUGAUGCCUGCAAAAAAGUGGGCUCUGCAGGAUCUCCAGUCACCUCCCUUCCCUUCAGAUCCAGAGCUCUCUCUGGCUAGGACCUUCCAGAGUUCCAGAAUUUUUGUUCCACCUUCCAUUGCUCACUUCUAUUACUAUUACUAAGAUAUUCACAUGGAAUUCUGUGCAAACCAUUUUUUUUUUCUUUUGGUGCCCUCUUUGUUUUACUUCCUCUAUUGGGACUAAUGGCCAUCUGACUUGGGGGUCCUUUGUUUUUUGUGACAAACCACCCUCAGCAGAUUUCCUUGAGGUCCAUUUGCUCAAGGGCCUUAAAGCUUUUUGGAGUAAUACAGAGUAAGUUUCUAGACAGCCUCUUGUGCUCUGCAGUAAGCUAAAGUGGAAGAUUAAGAUGCCUGGUGUAUACUGUGUGUUUCCCAUGUAAUGGCAGAAAAGGAAUGGGGCUCAUUAGUUACUUUAAGGUGGCAGCAGCUACCUUAGAGAAGACUGCAUUGCUUGUACUGAUUCAAAAGAGCACCUAAUGAAGGGAAAAAGCAGAAAUAAGCCAAGACUUGAGCUGAGUGAUUCGUUGAAUCAGCCAAGGAUAAUGUUCUUCAGGCACUAUGCACAUGUCACUGAUCAGUAGCGCUUCUCUUAAGCUUCAACAGCACUCACUUCCCCUGUCUUGAUGAGGUGAGCAGCACAUUUAAUUUCAGCUCCUGGGGCCAUCUGCAAACCUCUACUCCAUUCCUCAGCUGUGUUUGCUCCUCUGUUCUCAGGGAGCAGCAUUUUCACUGGAUGCAAACUGUGAGGCACUGUCUGGGCAAGCAGAUUGGUUACUAAUGAGGAAACUGGCACUGACAGCCUUUUGGGUUCUGAUUGAAGAAAAGAGAUGUCUUCGCAUCAGAAUGGUUUAACUUUCAAUGUGGCAUAUCAACUGGUUGAAAUUAGGGAGAGAGAGAAAGAGAAAUUUAAUUGUCAGGCUGUGGUGCGUAGUGUCAAAGCUACCUAGAUUAUGAGAAAUACGUCUUUUCAACAGCUUAAAGGCCACAGCUCUCAACAUUUUUUCUGCAUGUACAACACAGACAGGAUCCAGAAAUCCCAGCCUAUAACUCUUGGUUCCGUCAAAUACUCAACAGAGAAAACAGAAGUAUUUGAUUGUGGUAUUAACUAUGAAAUGUUCCCUAUUAGCCAUAUGAUUCUAUUAGCUCAGCUCAUUCCUGUUAGAUUUAUAGAAACAUUAGAGAUAAUUGGAAUUAGAAGGGCCAAGAGAGACGAUCCAAUCCCAUAUAGAGAAAAGCAAGACCCCUGCUCUCACUGAAGAAGUUUUAAAAAUAAUUAAACAACAAACAAACAAAUUGAGGCCCAGAGAGAUGAAGUAAUUUGACUGAUGUAUUCCAUCAGUGACAGACCUGGGACUGGAGCUCCAUCUCAGCUCUCAGCCCACUAAGAACCCUGUUCAUGGUGCCAUACUAGCAACCCCCUUCCUGUAGGAGUCUUUGAGAGUCAGAAUGACUUCUUGACUGAGAGGUACAUGUCUCUAGGAUAAGGACAAUUGAGGGGAUAAUGAGGAAAGAAAUAAUGUAAGUUAACUAUAUUUUGCCACAUGCCCUCCUCUCUCCAUGAAUCCAGGAUGUUGACCCAUAUCCAGCAUCCAUUGUGGGACUAAGUCUCGGACACCAAGGACUUCUAAGGAGCCUGCUCCAAUCUGAAAUGACUGUGGGGGAGCUGGCCAUUCCCCGAGCCAUUCUUGGAAUAUUGGGCCACAGGGGCCACUGGGGAGCAUGUAUAGGUAGGGGCGGCUUUGAUAUAAGCCUAGGUAUUCAAUUCUUCAUGGGACCCCCAAUGCUACCCCAAGUCUGCACCUUGAUUCCCAAAUACCCAAGAGAGACAAAAUGUCCUACUUUCUCUCUGAAGUUCUUCUAAUGUUGGAAGACCUAGGGUGGAGGCAAACCUUUCAGAGAAUUUCUGCUGGGAUUUAAAUGUAUGUCUAGCUGGCUUUAGACAUUAGAAGACUGUAAUAUGUACCUUAAUAAGUUGCCUUUCCCAUGGUGUUUGUUAUCCUCAGAAGACCCCCAUAGUGACUCUAGGAGACAAUUCUCAUAUCUUCUGAACUGUGCAUGUUCAUAGUUUUUCUGAGCAGGGUUUGCAUCUAGCAGCGAUGGAGGUAUAGGAGGUCACAGGCAACACUGCGUGCCUCACACAACAUUGUAGAUCAAGACACAGUUAAAUGGGCUGGCAAUUCUGAGUUUCUGAGUCCAGUCCCAUGACUAGUAUAGCUGUCAGAACUAGAGGGGCCAACCCUGGGAAUCUUGGAGAUGCUUUAUGAAUAUAUGAGAUUUCAGGCAUCCAAGCUCUUCUAUUUGUUUACAUGUAUUCUCAAUGUCUAUCUCCCAUUAUCAAAUCUAUUCCAAAAGUAUUUUUUCAACACUUGCUGGAGACUCUUGGAUAAAGCUAGUAAACGUGCUUUUAUUAAGCUCCAACUCUGUGCUGACCACUUAUACAUAUAUUGUCUCAGUUGCACUCAAAAUGCUAUUGUGUGUUAGGGUUCUUUCUUACAGAUUUUGAAACAGUGUCUUGGAGAGGUUAGGUGAAUUGCUCAAAAGACGCAGCAAGCACAGAGCUGUGACUUGGUCCUGUCUUAUCUGCUUUGGGGUUAUGGGUAGUUUAUCUUUAUAUGCCUAUUUUAACAGUAGACCCUCAACCACUGAAAUUGACAGGAAAAAGUAUGUGGUUGUUUUACCAAACAAACAAACAGACAAAAAACCAAACCCACCAAACCUGAAAUUUUUGGUUUGGUCAACAUUUUAAUUCAACUGUACUCAAUGUAUUAACAAUGGUGAUUUGAUAUGAUGGAUGUAAUUGAUAAUCAAUGCAGUGCCAUUUAUAGACUGCCUAAAAGUGCAUUGUACAUCAUUUUGACAACAUAUUUACCUGCAUUGUUUGGGCAAAAUGAAUUUUAAAAUUAUUUUUUGUUUCCUAAAUUUGUAUCAAUUGAAAAAAAAAAAGUCAUCUGGGUAGCAGACAGAAGUCAGCCUGGGACUACAGUGGGUCAUAACCCUGAGGAUUCAAAUGUGGGCAAUGGCAACAACAUCAGCGACUAAAGCUGUCAGUGGAGAAAAGAAGAAAGCACACGCCAGCCACCCUGCAGAACAAUGCAGUUCUUUCAGAGUCACAUAGUCCUAAAUCUGGAAACCAUCACAGCUGAGAGGAUAAGCUUUGGAACCCGAUAGUGGUCUAAAACUAGGCUCUGCCUGCCAUGGACAAACUACAAGAGACUGGGAAGUGAGUUAAACCUGAGCUAAAUCCCAGUUUCCUUCUCUGCAAAACAGGGAGUGGGGACAGUGGAAUAACACCUCCCUCAUAGAACUGUUGGGAGGCAUAAAUGACCCUCAGCACAGGGUGGUGUGUAUGGAAUGUGCAUCAUAAGUGGCAGCUAUUUUGAUAAUUACUAAACAUGAUGAAUGAUGAUAAGCGAAAUAAUAACACAGCUUUUCAACAUUUUCACUCAAUAAGUUAAAUUUAUAAUAGGCAAGCAAAGGAGUUUCCAGAAUUAAGCAUCUGAUGGGAGCUUAGACAGGUUGACUUUUACAGCUCAUUCUAACCCUGAGUGAGGGUCUGUGAUUUUAUAAGCCCUUUUAGGGUUCGAGUGCUACUUCUAAUCAAGAUCCUGGUAUCAUGUUUUUCUCCAUUACGUGGAACAAUAAUGAAUAGAUAAAUAAAAUAUAACUGGGAAAGGAGAACACAGAUUGAACACAUGCAUUUAUCUCCACUCUUGUCCAAAACCUCACAGUAAAAUAAUUUAAAAUACAUGAACCUAUAAGAACAAGAGAGGGGAGAUAUGAUGAAAGAGAAAACCAAAAUUUUGGAAGUUGGAAAAAAAUGGAAGGCUGGUUAGCCAAUUAGGGACAGUAGAAAGCUGCAUAUCUGUAAGGCACAUGCUGCCAAGAGAGAAAAGCAAGGCAAUUUGGAUGUGGAACCUCAGACAGGCUUAGAAUAGGAAACAGAUCCAUGAGUCAUGACACUGUGGUUGAGAUUUCUGCUUUAGCCAUUCCAGCGUAUGCUUGUUUUUCCCUAAAAGUCUUUACUCAUUUGUUUUCUCUCUUCCGCCCAGUGAACAUCUACUCAUUCUUCAAAACCCAGAACUGUUGUUGUUUCUUGAAAAAUGGAGAUUAUUCCAAAGUUCUUUUAGCCUUUGCAAUGUGAAGGCAUGUGUCAGGGUUGGGAGGAGUUGGGGAACAGCACCUCUUUCUUUUAACGUCCAAUUGAUUGAGGCCAAUGGGUCAUCCUGCCUCCUUCCCUAAAUAUUCCUGAGAAUGCUCAGAGAGGGCCCACAUGUUCCCUAAGUCCAUUCUGGUUACCCUGUGUGCCUUCUUGCUCUGGUCUGCUGCUCCCAGCUUCUUCACGAUCACUUGUGAUCAUUUGCUAGCCUUUUUUUAGUCCAUUUUACUCCAAAGCAAGAAUACAGUACUUGCUCCUUACUCUCCAAUGCUUACCAAUGCAACAACAAGAGGUAAUAGUAUUUAACAAAUUUUGAUACGGAGGAAAGGAAAACCUAAAAUAAGGUACCAUGUAUCACUAUUCCUGAAUUCUGUCAUCAUGUCCCUUUAAAGGCAGUGCUCUAUAGGUUCCGUCUCUCCUGUGGCCCCAGCCUGCUGCCACUGGAACAAGGGUCCAGGGUUCUUAAUGCACGGAAGUCUUCAUCUUAUCCCCCACAAAUCUACAGCCAAAAGAAGGAAAUACCCAUUGAUGACACGAUAGACAAUAUAACAGUUGACAAGAUAAUUGAUACAGCGUGCCCAAUGUGAAGAGAGAAUUUGUCACGGCUAGAGUAGUGAACCUUCUCCAGGUGAACCAUCUGCCGUUGGAAGCUUCCUUUUGUCCAGGGCUCCUGCAAGGCCAGUGAGUAGGUACUUCUAUCUACACAUGACUGAAAAAGACUUACCAAAACCAAUAUAUUCCCAAGGAUACUUUCUAAAUUCUACCCAAGGAGCAGAUGCUGCUCACAAUUCUCUAAAACAAGGUCUUUUUUUUUUCAACCCCAGAUAUAUCAAGAAUGGGACACAAUCUCCGAGGAAGAAAUUGUCAGCAUCUAUCUUGAAAAUAUCUUUGGUUUCCCAUUACAUUUCGGAUUUCUCUAGACCAUAUUUGUAGUUCCCUUUUUGGUGUUCCCAUUCUUGUAAGUUUAUAUAAACAGCAAUAAGACUAUAGCUCUUCUCACAGGAUACUUUGUUAUUUCUUAAUGGGACUGUCUGUCCUGUAGGCUAUGAGCUAUUUGAGGGCAAAGAAUAUUCUAUUCAUCUUUAUAUUCCUGGCACAUGGUAGGCACUCAGUAAUGCUGCUGCUGAAUUGAAUCGGCUGUGGGAAAAAAACAAAUGCUUCUCCUCAGUCAGCAUUUGUUUUCUAGGAUCUAUUCCAAUAUAUUUCCAACAAAAAUAUGAGAUUUAAAAGAUAGGCAGAGAGUGAAUUGAACUGAAUAUUGCACAAAAACUCCUUGUCUUUAAAGGUGGAAACAAAAUCCACCACCUUCCCAAGAUAGCUGUUCUGUCUCACAUCUUCUUGAAGCAAUGAAAUGAUGAGUACUGUGAUCAGAGAGGACCCUCAGAAAAUAAAUAAAAACCCAGCUCUACAAAUGCAGCCGUAAGCCAGGAGGAUAUGACGAAGGAUAUCAUUAUCAUCCUGAUAUUUUUAGAAGUUCUUUGGUGACAGGUCAGAUUUUUGAGAAUCAGAAAAUGAUAAAAAUAAUCUUGUUAUUCCACAAAGGAGGCUCUAUAUAUAUCAGGCCGAUUUUGAACACUGCCUGAGAAUGUUGAGAAAAUAUUUUUAAAUGUUAGUGAAAUGAUAGGCUUUGGGGGCAGACCCAGCCUCGCUUUAGAAAAAGCUUUAUCGUGGGGGGAUUGAGAGAUUUUAGUGAUGUGAGCAUUGUAAAGAAUCAGCAGUGAGUGGGUGUAAGUUUUUGUUUUCCAAUUUUCCAGAGGAGGGUCCACCUGGGAAGAAUUUCAUGAAAUUUACAGAAAUCUGAAAAUUGCUUUUGAAGCUAUUACAGGUACCUGGGGAGUCCUCCUUGGCCCCACAGGCUGACUACACUAUCCAGAUCUUAAGGGACUCUCAUCUUUCCUAACUUCUAGGUUGCAGGAUUCUGCAGAAUUACUUCUGCAGCUUCCAUUUGUAGCUAUUGCUAAGUGGACCCAUAGCUAUAUGGGAUGUGGGGCUCUGGAUUUCAGGUAGAAAUGACCCUUUGUUUAUUUGAGAUGUUUGCUUCUUUAAAUACUCAGCCAUCUGACUCUCUAAUUGUUUAGGAUUAGUCAUAAGUUAAGUAGGACAGGGAAGAUGUUAUAAAUAGUUUAUUGCAUAUCCAUUCAAGAAAUUUAGGCUAAGUUUAUAUAUUUUACCUUCUGAAAGGAGAAAGCCUGUGUGUUUAUUUAAAGCAUUGUAGAUUUUUUCUCAUUUAGAAUAUAUGAGUCUAGUAUAAAAAUUGAUUCUAGAUGAUUUAUAUGUAAGUUGCUCUUUUCUUCAUACUUAUUUUGCUACCUUUUUAUUUCA